GUCUAGUGCCGCGACUGAUGGGAACUAUAUUGUAAUAUUUAGGAUUACAGGUAAGAAGAAUAUAUAAAUGUUUCGACCCCCCGACCCGUUGUUUUUACCUCUUUUGGGGGAGCCCAAGUGUUAAUUAGGGGGGUCAGACCUCUCCAAUCCCCGCCGUAAUUUGAACACUGGUGUACGAUAAAAUAUUACCGAAUACACUCUAUGGUCCCCCCCUGCCUAAAAUAGCCAUUUUUUCUUGUCCAGCGCUUCCAAUAAAAUUUCACCGGAUUACGUCAUUCCAGUUUGAACACGGAACGAAUACAACAAACAACGGUCUUUAGCGAGAAACUCCACCAGGACUGAACUGUGGCUGGACACACUAGUUGUGCUUGGAGCCGACUUGCCCAUAUCCACUCAGCUCUUCAUUAAGUGCAAUCCAUGGAGCAGUGGCUGCAUUGGCUGUACCGCUCACAGUGCUGAGUCCCUGCAUGGAUGCUGCAUAGGAACAGAACCGUCCCAAGACUUCGAGGGACCCUAGACAAAAAAUAAUUUGGGGGCCCCUCCAAAACAUUUGCACCUUCUGACUCUUCUGAUGUCAAAGGAAGGCGAGAAGGCGGGGCCCUAGGCGAGAUGGUGGGGCCCUAGGCGCAGUGCCUUAUCUGCUUAGUGGAAGGGACGGCUCUGCAUAGGAAACAGGCUGCAGAAAAUGCAUCCCCUUGGUAGAUAGCCUUCAGCACCCUGACUUCUACGGACAGCUCUCUUCUCCUGUCCUCUGGACAGAACCCCAGCAGCUAAAAGGCUGACCUUGGCAAAAACAGGGUGAAAAUAAGCAGCAGAGAUAUGGGACAAUUUUGCUGGCUAAACUCAAAUG